UUGCCUGGCGGCAGUAGCGCGGUGGUCCCACCUGACCCCAUGCCGAACUCAGAAGUGAAACGCCGUAGCGCCGAUGGUAGUGUGGGGUCUCCCCAUGCGAGAGUAGGGAACUGCCAGGCAUC
rnacentral:rRNA from 2 species